rnacentral:rRNA from 1 species
GACGAACGCUGGCGGCGUGCCUAAUACAUGCAAGUCGAGCGGACAGAUGGGAGCUUGCUCCCUGAUGUUAGCGGCGGACGGGUGAGUAACACGUGGGUAACCUGCCUGUAAGACUGGGAUAACUCCGGGAAACCGGGGCUAAUACCGGAUGGUUGUUUGAACCGCAUGGUUCAAACAUAAAAGGUGGCUUCGGCUACCACUUACAGAUGGACCCGCGGCGCAUUAGCUAGUUGGUGAGGUAACGGCUCACCAAGGCAACGAUGCGUAGCCGACCUGAGAGGGUGAUCGGCCACACUGGGACUGAGACACGGCCCAGACUCCUACGGGAGGCAGCAGUAGGGAAUCUUCCGCAAUGGACGAAAGUCUGACGGAGCAACGCCGCGUGAGUGAUGAAGGUUUUCGGAUCGUAAAGCUCUGUUGUUAGGGAAGAACAAGUACCGUUCGAAUAGGGCGGUGCCUUGACGGUACCUAACCAGAAAGCCACGGCUAACUACGUGCCAGCAGCCGCGGUAAUACGUAGGUGGCAAGCGUUGUCCGGAAUUAUUGGGCGUAAAGGGCUCGCAGGCGGUUUCUUAAGUCUGAUGUGAAAGCCCCCGGCUCAACCGGGGAGGGUCAUUGGAAACUGGGGAACUUGAGUGCAGAAGAGGAGAGUGGAAUUCCACGU